rnacentral:rRNA from 1 species
AUGGGGAAGCGCAGCGCCCCCCGCUACCCGGAGGACGAGAACAAAGGCGGCGGCGUGUGCUGCUGCUUGUGCGGCUGCUGCUGCUUCCUCUUAGUCCUCGUUGCAUUAUUUGUCGGCUCGUCGGUCUACCUCGUCUACACCUUGAAGCCCAAGGCGCCGUCCUACUCCGUGAGCAAGAUGGCCGUCUCGAAGUUCGACUUCAGCUCCUCCGACCUCACGCUCUACACUAAGCUCGUCGCCACCGUCCGCGCCGAGAACCCCAACGACAAGAUCGGCAUCAAGUACGCGGACGGCUCCCGCACCGUCGUCUCCUACCGCGGCACGCCGCUGUGCUCCGGCAAACUCCCCACCUUCUUCCAGGGCCACAACAACGUCACCAUGCUGGAGAUCUCCAUGGAGGGGCGCCACGGGUUCGGGUCCGGCCUGCAGGAGGCGCUGGAGGAGAGCGAGAAGGCCGGCAACGUGCCGCUCGACGUGUACGUCACCGUGCCGGUGCAGCUGCUGCUGGAUACCUACGACUUGCCGCAGCUCAAGGUGAACGUGCACGCGGCUCUCGUCGUCGACAGCAUAUCGCCCAAGAAGCCGCCUACCAUCAAGUCGGCCACUUACCAGGGCAACGUAGAGUACUGA